GACAAGGGCACAUAAAGGAUGCCUAGGCUCUCGCAGGCGAAGAAGGACGCGAUAAGCUGCGAAAAGCUGCGUUAAGGGGCAAAUACCCGUUAUAGGCGCAGAUAUCCGAAUGGGGCAACCCACCUUGCAAAAGGUAUCACGGCUAUAGCCGUGAAGCGAACCCGGUGAACUGAAACAUCUUAGUAGCCGGAGGAAAAGAAAACAAAAGUGAUUCCGCAAGUAGCGGCGAGCGAACGCGGAGGAGCCCAAACCACGGUUGUGGCAACGCAACACGUGGGGUUGUAGGAUCUUCAACGAACUUUUUAGACAGAGUUAGCCGAACGCCCCUGGAAAGGGCGGCCGUAGCGGGUGACAGCCCCGUAGGCGACAACUGUGUUUAAAGAGGAGAAGACACCUGAGUAGCGCAGGACACGAGAAAUCCGGCGUGAAUCAGCGGGGACCAUCCCGUAAGGCUAAACACUAGCGAGAGACCGAUAGCGAACAAGUACUGUGAAGGAAAGGUGAAAAGAACCUCGAACAGAGGAGUGAAAUAGACCCUGAAAUUAUGUGCCUACAAGCGGUCGGAGCCACUUUGUGUGGUGACGGCGUGCCUUUUGCAUAAUGAACCUACGAGUCACCCGUUCUGGCGAGGCUAAGUUCUGGAAGAAGGACGGAGCCGGAGCGAAAGCGAGUCGGAACACGGCGUUUUCUAGUCAGAGCGGGUGGACGCGAAACCAAGUGAUCUACCCUUGGGCAGGAUGAAGGCGGGGUAACACCCGCUGGAGGUCCGCACCGGUAAGCGUUGAAAAGCUUUCGGAUGACCUGAGGGUAGGAGUGAAAGGCCAAUCAAACUUGGAGAUAGCUCGUACUCCCCGAAAUGCAUUUAGGUGCAGCCUCGGGUACAGUACCGUGGAGGUAGAGCGACCGAUUGGAUGAGAGGGCUUCGCCGCCUAUCAAGUCCUGACGAACUCCGAAUGCCACGGCACGAUCCCCGGGAGUGAGGGCGCGGGUGCUAAGGUCCGCGUCCGAGAGAGGAACAACUCAGACCAUCGACUAAGGCCCCCAAAUCCGGGCUAAGUUGAAGACCAUAACGAGGUGGGAUUGCCUAGACAGCUAGGAUGUUGGCUUGGAAGCAGCCAUUCAUUUGAAGAGUGCGUAACAGCUCACUAGUCGAGUGAUCCCGCAUGGAUAAUAAUCGGGCAUAAGUCCGGUGCCGAAGUCGUGGAAUAUUUAGCAAUAGAUAUUGGUAGGGGAGCAUUCCGGUAGUCGCAGAAGAAGGCAUGUGAGUGUCUUUGGAGAUCCCGGAAAAGCAAAUGUAGGUAUAAGUAACGAUAAGGAGGGCGAGAAACCCUCCCGCCGUAAGACCCAGGAUUUCUGAUCAACGCUAAUCGGAUCAGAGUAAGUCGGGACCUAAGCAGGAGCCUUUGGGCGUAUGCGAUGGACAAAGGGUAAAUAAUCCCUUACCCGGCGAUGGGAGCGAAGCGGGGACGGAGAAGCGAAAAUCCCGCGCACUGACGGAAUAGUGCGUUAAACCGCAAAGGUGAUGAUCAGGGCAGUAAAGUACACCCUGAGAGCUGAAGCGGGACAGUACCGAGCGCCUUCGGGCAAUCGGAUAGCGGAUGGCAGCCGGCUCCCGAGAAAAGCCGCUAAGCGCCAAAGACCCAUUGCCGGCCCGUACCGUAAACGGACACACGUGGUCGGGUAGAAUAUACCAAGGCGCUCGAGAGAUUCACGGUUAAGGAACUAGGCAAAUUGACCCCGUAACUUAGGGAUAAGGGGUCCCGUCCUCCGGGACGGGCGCAGAGAAUAGGUCCAGGCAACUGUUUAACAAAAACACAGGGCUGUGCUAAGAUGAAAGUCGCAGUAUACAGCCUGACACCUGCCCGGUGCCGGAAGGUUAAGAGGAGAAGUCAUCGCAAGAGAAGCUUUGAAUUGAAGCCCCGGUAAACGGCGGCCGUAACUAUAACGGUCCUAAGGUAGCGAAAUUCCUUGUCGGGUAAGUUCCGACCUGCACGAAUGGUGUAAUGAUCUGGACACUGUCUCAACCGUGAGCUCGGUGAAAUUGUAGUAUCGGUGAAGAUGCCGAUUACCCGCAACGGGACGGAAAGACCCCGUGAACCUUUACUGCAACUUAGCAUUGGGACUGGGUUUUCGAUGUGUAGGAUAGCCGGGAGACAUUGAAUCGGCCACGCCAGUGGUCGUGGAGUCGUCCUUGAAAUACCGGCCUUCGGACAUCUGGUCUCUAACGCGCUAAGCGCGGACACUGCUUGGUGGGUAGUUUGACUGGGGUGGUCGCCUCCAAAAGAGUAACGGAGGCUUCUAAAGGUGCGCUCAGACCGAUUGGUAACCGGUCGGAGAGUGUAAUGGCACAAGCGCGCUUGACUGGGAGACCGACAAGUCGAUCAGGUAGGAAACUAGAGCAUAGUGAUCCGGUGGUUCCGCAUGGAAGGGCCAUCGCUCAAAGGAUAAAAGGUACUCCGGGGAUAACAGGCUGAUCCCUCCCAAGAGCUCAUAUCGACGGAGUGGUUUGGCACCUCGAUGUCGGCUCGUCACAUCCCGGGGCUGGAGAAGGUCCCAAGGGUUAGGCUGUUCGCCUAUUAAAGUGGCACGCGAGCUGGGUUCAGAACGUCGUGAGACAGUUCGGUCCCUAUCUGUUGUGGGCGUAGGAGAUUUGCGAGGACCCGACACUAGUACGAGAGGACCGUGUUGGACAGACCACCGGUGAGCCGGUUGUACCGCCAGGUGCACCGCCGGGUAGCCGCGUCUGGCCAGGAUAAGUGCUGAAAGCAUCUAAGCACGAAGCCUACCUCAAGAUAAGAUCUCCAUAUAGGGCCGUCAGAGACGAUGACGUAGAUAGGUCGCAGGUGCAGGGGCUGCAAGGUCCACAGCCGAGCGAUACUAAUCGCCCGAACCCUUU
rnacentral:rRNA from 1 species